AACAUUACCUGGCAGUGGAGAUACUAUGAUCACGAAGGUGGUUUUCCCAGGGCAAGGCUUACCCAUUUCACUUUGGAUGUGCUGACCCCUGCAAUUUCCCCAAAUGUGGGAAACUCAUCUGCAUAGUUUGUGAUAGUGGGGGACUGCAUUUGUGCUCUCCCCUG